CACAUAUAAAAACAAAAUAUUUCCCCAUCAGAUUGUUUCAAUGUGAAUAGUACGAUAGUCAAUGAAACAAUGAAUUCACACUACUGCAGCUCUUUUGGAACAGCAUACUAGAGGCAUAAGCAAUGGAAAUAUCCCUUGGAGGUUCCUGCGUCUCCUGGAGGAAUCAUUCUGUAAACACAUCAACGUUGGAAGGAAAUUGCGCUGUGAAGAUUGCCACUGCAGUAUGGUUUUUAAAGGGAAUCACAUUCUCUUCAGCCUCCAGUCCCACCCAGAGCGAGGUUCCGCAGCUCCGUUUCACAGUAAAGAGUAGCUGGCUUUGGAUCGACAUAGAACAAACAGUAUUAAAAGUACAAAAUACAGUGACGUGUCAUCUGCCCCAUCUGUGCAAGAACUGAACCAGCCCUUCACCUCAAGCUUGAAAUAAAUGAAGGCGUUCUCCAAUGUUCUUGCUUAGGGUCAUUACAUGUGGCCCUUGGUUCUGUAGCCACUAUCUCAUGUGGAAGACACAUCUCAUGUGUAUGCUGGUCACAAAGGGCCGUAGGAGA